GUUUUCUAUUUAUUUUGAAAUGCCCGAUCUUGUCUGAUCUCAGAUGUAAAGUAGGGUUAAGCCUGGUUAGUACUUGGAUUGGAGACUGCCUAGGAAUAUCAGGUGCUGUAAGCU
rnacentral:rRNA from 1 species